AACCCGUGUUGUGGACACUUCCGCAAGAGGUCCUUGAAUCACUCCCAAGUCUGAAACAAGGAUUCAAGUCCCAUAUGGAAAAUGAAGAUAUCUCAUUACGAAGCU